rnacentral:tRNA from 1 species
GGGAAUGUAGCUCUGUGGUAGAGUCCAUGCCUGGCAUACACAGAGCCCUGGUUUCAAUUCCCAGCACUACCA